rnacentral:lncRNA from 10 species
GCCAAAAGUUUAUUUUUAAAAAUAUGAACAAAAAGAAAAAAGUACAAGCAACCAUAAAUCAGAGGAAAAAAUACAGAUUAUUAAUAUCAGAAAUUAAAAACAUCACUAAAGAUUUUAUAGACAUGAAAAACUUAAAGGACAUAGUAUAAAAAUGUACAAAUUUCUAUUGAAAAACACCAUGUUUUAGGACUGACAAAAGAAAGAGUAAACAAUUUUAAAAUUUUGGUUCUCAUCAAAUAAAUUAUACGUAUAAUUAAAAUGUUUUUCAAAAUGAAAGCUCUGGGCCCAAAUGGCUUUCAAUUGUGAAUUCUUCAAACACUUGAGAAAGAAACAAUGACAAUCUUACUUUCGUAUUCUGAGAGUAUUCUACAAAAUAGAGAAUUUCCCAUGAUAUAUAUUUUAAAAAAUCCUAAGAAUAGAAAAGUUGGAAAACCUCCCACAUUUAAGAAAUGAGGUCAGCAUAACCUUACUACCAAAACCUAACAGACUUUACAAGAAAAAAAAUUUACACUGAUUUAUCUCAUGAUUAUAUUUUUUAAAAAAUACAAAACAUAAAUGUUCACUAAUACUACUUUUAUUUAACUUUGUCCUGCAGUCCCAGAUAGUACAUAAAGAAAAAAAUAAUAAAGUGGGUAAAAGUUAGAAUGGAAGAAAUGAAAGUAUCAUUAAUUGUUGACAACUUGAUUAGUUAUAAAUAAAAAAAACUUAGCUAAACUAAUAUAAUUAGUUAACUGAGUUUAGCAAGGUUAUUGAAUAUAAUACCAACGUACAAGAUUAACUGUAAUUCAAUAUAUCAACAAAAAUUGGAAAGUAAAAUUAAAAUAAUACCAUUUAUAGUGACUUUGAAAAACAUAAAAAACUAGCAAUCAAUUUAACAAGAGACACACAAAACAACUGCACACAAAAAAUACAAAGCAUUUUUGACAGAUAUCAAAGAACAUGUAAUUAACUUGAGAGACAUACCAUGUUUGUUUAUUAGAAAAUCAAUAUUGUAAACAUGGUAAACCUGCCCCAUAUUUGUCUAUACACACAUUCUGAUCUCAAUCAAAAUUUCUGAAUAUAUUUAGUAGAUGACAAAUGGAAAUGUCCAUUAAUGGAUGAAUGGUUUCUUUAAAUAAAUAUAUAUAUAUAUCACAUUUUAUUUAACCAUUAUUUUAUAUAUAUAUAUAUAUAAUGGAAUAUUGUUCAGCUUUUAAAAAAGGAAAUUCUACCAUAUAUGACAACAUGAAUGAACCUUAAGGACAUUAUGCUAAGCAAAAUCAGCCAGUCACAGUAUUACCAGCACCACACUCUGGGUUCUUGAAAUCUCCCAGAUAGAAAUCAAGGGAGAUCACCAGACAUAGCAGCAGACAGAAAGUGAAAGUGUAUUAAGGUUGUGCACAGGGGAGUCAGUACCACCAAAGGAAAAGGGUGGGCUGCUCCUCAAGAGAAGUAUGGGAAAGAGUUUCAUCAGUUAUGUCCAGGAGGGGUUUCUCUAGCACUUGAACAGUGGCUUUACAUGCUUCUUCAUACCUAGCACAUUACAUUAUCAUUUUAAAUCUCCACCCCUGGGCAUAAUUUUUAGCAUUGAAAUGAGGUCACUGUAAGGUGAAGUUUAAGUCUAACUGUGCAGGAAAGGCCCUGGGGAACUUGGCCAGGCAAUUCCUCUGCCCAUGACAGGAACUUGUGGUAAAUAGUGCCUUGGUUCUUUUGCUGCUGAUUGGCUUGAAGUUAGGUAAGCUAUAGCUUGAGUACAGGGCUUUUGUUCUUUUUCUCUAAACUACAUUAAAUUAGGAAACCAGCCUGCCUGCCUGUCUCAACAGAAGAACAAACACUGCAUGAUUCCUUUUAUAUCAAAUAUCUAAAAUAGUUAAGCUCACAGAAACUUAGAGCAGAAUGGUGAUUGUUGGAGAAUGGAUGGAGGGGCAUAUACGGCAUUCAAUGGUUAUGAACUUUUAGUUAUAAAAUAUGAAUAAGUUAUAUAGAUCUUCUGUACAACAUUGUGCCUAUAGUUAACUGUAUUAUGCAUAUCAAGUGUUCUUACUACAAUAAUAAUAACAAAAAUAAAGCACCAUUAUGAGCCAAGAGGCAAACUACCUGUUAGAAGAAGAUAUUUGUAAUAAAUAUAGUCAACAUAGGACUCAUGACCUGUAUAUAUAAGUAAUUACUACGUAUUAAUAGAAUAAAUGCAGAAGAAUUCCAAUAGUGUAUAUCCAAAGACUAUUCUUUCAGGGAUCAUUAUGCGAGAAGUUUUUCUGAAUGCCUAAAGAACCAGAAAACCAUGAGGACAGACAGCAGCAUUUUCUCCUGAGCUUGAAGCUGGCUCUUGGCACUGGUUUGCUGCAACUGCCGUUUGCCAUUGCUGAUCAUUUUUCUCUUCCUUUGGGAGAGUGAGGGGAAGAGAAUGCAAUCUGAGUGAUAUUUCUUAAAAGAGGAAAAAAAGACCAAUAAUAUAUGAAAAGGUGCUCAAUUCUAUUAGACAUCAAUUAAAAUCACAAUAACUUAAAUACACACCCACCAGAAUUGCUUACCUGAAGAAACCAAACCACAACAAAACAAAACAAAGAAAUCAUCUGACAAUACUAAAGUUGGUGGGAAUGUGAAGCCAUUAGACAUUUUAUACACCACCAGCAAGGGUAAAAACUUUUACCCUUAGAUUGGUAGUAUCUAAUAAAGCUAAACAGACAAAUGGCAACAAUCCAGUUGAUGUGGUUAAGCUUUGUGUCCCCACCCAACUCUCAUCUUGAAUUGUAAUCCCCAUAAUCCCCACACGUCAAGGGAGAGACCAGAUGGAGCAGGUGGAGGUAAUUGAAUCAUGAGGGCAGUUUCCCCCAUGCUGUUCGCAUGAUAGUCAGUUCUCACAAGAUCUGAUGAUUAUGUAAGGGGCUCUUCCCCCUUCUCUCAGCACUUCUCCUUCCUGCUGCCUUGUGAAGAAGGUGCCUUGCUCCCCUUCACCUUCCGCCAUGAUUGUAAGUUUCCUGAGGCCUCCGCAGCCAUGCUGAACUGUGAGUCAAUUAAACCUCUUUCCUUUAUAAAUUACCCAGCCUCAGGCAGUUCUUUAUAGCAGUGUGCAAAUGGACUAAUACACCAGUAAAUUCACUUCAAGGUACAUGCCAAAUAAAAUUGUGUAUUUAUGUUCACCCAAAAGACACAUCGAAAAAUGUAGCCCAAACCCCAAUCUAUAAUAGAAAAAAUAAAUUAAUAGUGGUAAAUUUUGGCAAUGCAACAUUAUACAGUAAUGAGAGAAUGAACAAAAUACUGCUGCAGAUGAGAAGAAUGAACCUCACAAGCAUAAACUGGAGCAAAAGAAGCCAAACAUAAUGAGUGAGAUACUAUAUGUUCCACUUACACAAACGUCAAAAUCAGGUAAAAGUAAGUAAAAGAUAGCUGUCCCAAGAUAGGUACUGGGAGAAUGCGAAUAGUGAGCUAUUUCUUGGUCUGGUGAGUAGUUACAAGAAUGUGUUCAAGUUUGUA